UACGAAGGGGGCUAGCGUUGCUCGGAAUUACUGGGCGUAAAGCGCACGUAGGCGGCUCUUUAAGUCGGGGGUGAAAUCCUGGAGCUCAACUCCAGAACUGCCUUCGAUACUGAAGAGCUCGAGUCCGGGAGAGGUGAGUGGAACUGCGAGUGUAGAGGUGAAAUUCGUAGAUAUUCGGAAGAACACCAGUGGCGAAGGCGGCUUCCUGGCCCUGUUCUUGGACGCUGAGGCGCGAAAGCUAGGGGGAGCAAACGGG
rnacentral:rRNA from 1 species